AGGAUAGGAUGUUUUGCAUCGCACUCCUUUUAGCGCUCCCCCUGUUCCAUGUGUAGCAGUGUAGCACGCGUGCCUCCCCUCCACGAUCUCAAUAAACCCGACGGCAGUGCGCGUGCUACUCGUACGGCCUAUCCAGCAAGCGUGGGCUCGAGCCUCGUGCUCUGUCCAGCCACUCCCGCAAUCGGCAAAGCCUCCUCCCCCGUCCGCGGCACCUCCAUUGGCAAGACCUGAAGCCCUGCGGCCGCGGACACGCAAGAUCUUGGCGUAGGGCGUACGGAGGAUCGGAGCUUGCUUGGCGUCGUCAUGGAGGAUCCAUCCAACUCGAUCUGGGUAGGAACUGCCGGUGCCAUACAUGGAGGGUCCAUCCAACCACCAUGCCCGAUGGAUCCGCAGCAGCAAGUCCGCAUCCCCGCGGAGAUCUCAUGAAUCCGGGGUAUGAUUUUCAUGGAUGACGAUUCAAUUAAGGCAGGGAUUGUCGCAUCCGAGUAAGAUGGUGAACUGAAAUUGCUUUGCAUGAAGCCCGUCUAGCUCAGUUGGUAGAGCGCAAGGCUCUUAACCUUGUGGUCGUGGGUUCGAGCCCCACGGUGGGCGACUAUUCUUUCUUUUUGGAAAACUACCAUCAUUCAGCCUGAAGUUUCUGACAGAAACGAAUCUCCUUUCCAGAGCAAACAUCACUGCUCAUCCCGCCAUGUCAACCAUGGUGAACGAGGUCAGGAGCUACCAGAAUGGGGAUCGAGAGAUCUUGUGUGCUACGGCUGCCCGUGGUCAGAGCAGGUUCGAGCCAUGUGAACUCACCGUCCGUGCCAUCAUUUAGUUGCUGAUGUUCUAAAUGACAAUGAGUACAACAUGGGAUUCGGCAUCUAUCCUCGAUGGAACACAUUUGUGAAGACAAUCCACCAUCCUAAAAGUAACUACAAACCUUAAUUUGCACCUACGCAAGAAUUUGCUAGAAAAGAUGUUGAGAGAGCUUUUGGUGUGCUUCAAUGACGCUUUAGGAUUGUCCGCGGAUCUUUGCAUAUUGAAAGCCCGAGACCACCUGGAAGACCAUGAGAACAUGUGUUAUCUUACAAAACAUGAUCAUCGAGGAUGAGGGAGAGGAUCCACAAGACUUUUGAUAUCUCUUCAGUGGGCUCUCGGUGGAGCCGGAACAUAACCCAAAUAGGAUCGAAGCCUUCCUCCAAGCACAUUGAAGGAUCGAGAACCGUCAAGCUCACAACGGACUCCAACUAGAUCUUAUUGGGCACCUUUGCCGCCUUCAUAACACUUGAUUCUUAUGCCUUUUAUCAUGUUUAUUUUGAUCCUUAGUUCAUUUGUACCGUCUCUUGAGUUUUAAUUUGCAUGGUUAUGUUUGAGAACAUUAAAUUUGAUGUGUAUUUGAAUUGUGUACUUGAAUUUU